rnacentral:lncRNA from 1 species
AGGCGGUGCCGAGCAUCGAGAUGGUCCGGUUCGUGAACUCCGGCACCGAAGCCUGCAUGGGAGCGAUCCGCCUUGCCCGGGCCUUCACCGGCCGGCAGAAGAUCAUCAAAUUCGAGGGCUGCUACCACGGCCACGCGGAUUCCUUCCUCGUCAAAGCCGGCAGCGGGGUCGCCACCCUCGGCCUCCCCGACUCCCCCGGCGUCCCCAAGGCCGCCACCUCGGAGACGCUCACCUCCCCAUUCAACGACCUCGAGACGGUGAAGAGCCUCUUCGAAGCGCACCAGGGGGAGAUCGCCGCCGUGAUCCUAGAGGCGGUGGUGGGGAACGCCGGCUUCAUCACCCCAAAUCCCGACUUCCUGAGCUCCCUCCGGGAGAUCACCCGAGAGCACGGUUCUCUCCUCAUCUUUGACGAGGUGAUGACCGGAUUCCGCCUGGCCUACGGCGGCGCGCAGGAGUACUUCGCGGCGAAACCGGACCUGACGACGCUGGGGAAGAUCAUCGGCGGAGGCCUUCCCGUCGGCGCCUACGGCGGCAGGAGGGACAUCAUGGAGAUGGUGGCUCCGGCGGGACCCAUGUACCAAGCCGGCACCCUGAGCGGGAACCCCUUGGCCAUGACGGCGGGGAUCCACACUCUGCGCCGCCUGAAGAGCCCCGGGUGCUACGAGUACCUGGACAAGAUAACCGGCGACCUCGUCAACGGGCUUUUGGAAGCCGGCAGAGACGCGGGCCACGAGAUCUGCGGCGGGUUCAUCCGCGGAAUGUUCGGCUUCUUCUUCACCGAGGGGCCCGUCCACAACUUCGAGGACGCGAAGAAGAGCGACACAGCCAAGUUCGGACGG